UAUCUCGAAAUAAUUUGUCAGUGGAACUAGUACUUUUUUUUACAUAAAAUUAGCUUUCUCUUAUUUCUAGUGUACUAAGAUAUUUGCACUAGAAACUAGAUCAAAAAUACUUGGUAAGAUUUUGGAUUUUUGCAGAGCAAACAUGCGGCUCUGUUGCAUUUUGGCCAUCUGAGGGGAUUUUAUGGUGUUUGACAGCCUCCAUACUAAUAUACCUGCAUCCCUCAGCUCAGUUUCUAAAACACCUGUGAAGACUUUACAACACCAGUGGUUAAAUUAGAAGCUAAAAUCGAUCUGUUUGUGUGCCUUUGCACCCUCUUGCACUCAAGACAAGGAAAUUGAUUGUCAGUGACAUAAACGUAAGAG